rnacentral:tRNA from 1 species
GGAAGAGCACCGCCUCCGGUGGGGCGCGCGGCCUUCAAAGCCGUUGGGACGCUUGAAUCGCGUCCGGUGGGUUCGACUCCUACCUCUUCCGCCA